rnacentral:rRNA from 1 species
GAACGCUGGCGGCAGGCCUAACACAUGCAAGUCGAACGGUAACAGGAAGCAGCUUGCUGCUUGCUGACGAGUGGCGGACGGGUGAGUAAUGUCUGGGAAACUGCCCGAUGGAGGGGGAUAACUACUGGAAACGGUAGCUAAUACCGCAUAAUGUCGCAAGACCAAAGAGGGGGACCUUCGGGCCUCUUGCCAUCGGAUGUGCCCAGAUGGGAUUAGCUUGUUGGUGAGGUAACGGCUCACCAAGGCGACGAUCCCUAGCUGGUCUGAGAGGAUGACCAGCCACACUGGAACUGAGACACGGUCCAGACUCCUACGGGAGGCAGCAGUGGGGAAUAUUGCACAAUGGGCGCAAGCCUGAUGCAGCCAUGCCGCGUGUAUGAAGAAGGCCUUCGGGUUGUAAAGUACUUUCAGCGGGGAGGAAGGGGUUAAGGUUAAUAACCUUAGCCAUUGACGUUACCCGCAGAAGAAGCACCGGCUAACUCCGUGCCAGCCGCAGC